rnacentral:rRNA from 1 species
CGCAUCUGUGCAUGCAGCAUAUCAAUAAGCGGAGGAAAAGAAACUAACAAGGAUUCCCCUAGUAACGGCGAGUGAAGCGGGAAGAGCUCAAAUUUGAAAUCUUAAAGGGUUUCCCUUUACGAAUUGUAGUUUAAAGGAAGUGUUUUCUGUUGAGGUUUUGGUAAAAGUUCUUUGGAAUAGGACAUCAUAGAGGGUGAGAAUCCCGUAUUUGACCUUUACUUUCAACUUUGUGAUACACUUUCAAAGAGUCGGAUUGUUUGGGAAUGCAGUCCAAAAUGGGUGGUAAAUUUCAUCUAAAGCUAAAUAUUGGCGAGAGACCGAUAGCGAACAAGUACCGUGAGGGAAAGAUGAAAAGAACUUUGAAAAGAGAGUUAAACAGUACGUGAAAUUGUCAAAAGGGAAGCGUUUGACACCAGUGUUGUUUUUCUGAAAAUCAAUUAAAGAACUGUUUAUGCUAAGUUGUUUAGACUUUAUCAGCUAACUGUUUAGUUUUGAGCUUUUCUUUAAUGCACUUUUCAGUUAACAAGUCAACAUCAAUUUCUUUUGCUGUAAAAAAGCUUGAGGAGGGUGGCUUGAGAUUCGUCUUAAGUGUUUAUAGCCUCUUGCCUAUGCAGUCGGAGAGAUUGAGGUCUGCAGCGUAGAUCCUUCGGGGCUAAAUGCAUUUGUGCUAAGUUAUAAGCAUUUUAUAGACAACUUGUUGACUAUGAUUUGUCUUGUAGCUUACUCGCCUAUGUUAUUUUACCUACGCUUAGGAUGUUGAACGCGCACAGAGUCUC